rfam:Streptomyces mobaraensis NBRC 13819 = DSM 40847 contig172, whole genome shotgun sequence.
CUUCACCGAGCCGAGCCACAGCGGACGGUCCUCGUCGCGCUCCUUGCCGUACGUGGCGAUGAGGGCCUCGGCCUC